rnacentral:tRNA from 1 species
CAAGUCGGAUUACACUGAUACUAACUAGCUAGCCCCCCUCCCAAAAAUCAACUACCUCAUUCAUACGCCCUAGU